rnacentral:rRNA from 1 species
AGAGUUUGAUCCUGGCUCAGGACGAACGCUGGCGGCGUGCCUAAUACAUGCAAGUCGAACGAACUCUGGUAUUGAUUGGUGCUUGCAUCAUGAUUUACAUUUGAGUGAGUGGCGAACUGGUGAGUAACACGUGGGAAACCUGCCCAGAAGCGGGGGAUAACACCUGGAAACAGAUGCUAAUACCGCAUAACAACUUGGACCGCAUGGUCCGAGCUUGAAAGAUGGCUUCGGCUAUCACUUUUGGAUGGUCCCGCGGCGUAUUAGCUAGAUGGUGGGGUAACGGCUCACCAUGGCAAUGAUACGUAGCCGACCUGAGAGGGUAAUCGGCCACAUUGGGACUGAGACACGGCCCAAACUCCUACGGGGGGCAGCAGUAGGGAAUCUUCCACAAUGGACGAAAGUCUGAUGGAGCAACGCCGCGUGAGUGAAGAAGGGUUUCGGCUCGUAAAACUCUGUUGUUAAAGAAGAACAUAUCUGAGAGUAACUGUUCAGGUAUUGACGGUAUUUAACCAGAAAGCCACGGCUAACUACGUGCCAGCAGCCGCGGUAAUACGUAGGUGGCAAGCGUUGUCCGGAUUUAUUGGGCGUAAAGCGAGCGCAGGCGGUUUUUUAAGUCUGAUGUGAAAGCCUUCGGCUCAACCGAAGAAGUGCAUCGGAAACUGGGAAACUUGAGUGCAGAAGAGGACAGUGGAACUCCAUGUGUAGCGGUGAAAUGCGUAGAUAUAUGGAAGAACACCAGUGGCGAAGGCGGCUGUCUGGUCUGUAACUGACGCUGAGGCUCGAAAGUAUGGGUAGCAAACAGGAUUAGAUACCCUGGUAGUCCAUACCGUAAACGAUGAAUGCUAAGUGUUGGAGGGUUUCCGCCCUUCAGUGCUGCAGCUAACGCAUUAAGCAUUCCGCCUGGGGAGUACGGCCGCAAGGCUGAAACUCAAAGGAAUUGACGGGGGCCCGCACAAGCGGUGGAGCAUGUGGUUUAAUUCGAAGCUACGCGAAGAACCUUACCAGGUCUUGACAUACUAUGCAAAUCUAAGAGAUUAGACGUUCCCUUCGGGGACAUGGAUACAGGUGGUGCAUGGUUGUCGUCAGCUCGUGUCGUGAGAUGUUGGGUUAAGUCCCGCAACGAGCGCAACCCUUAUUAUCAGUUGCCAGCAUUAAGUUGGGCACUCUGGUGAGACUGCCGGUGACAAACCGGAGGAAGGUGGGGAUGACGUCAAAUCAUCAUGCCCCUUAUGACCUGGGCUACACACGUGCUACAAUGGAUGGUACAACGAGUUGCGAACUCGCGAGAGUAAGCUAAUCUCUUAAAGCCAUUCUCAGUUCGGAUUGUAGGCUGCAACUCGCCUACAUGAAGUCGGAAUCGCUAGUAAUCGCGGAUCAGCAUGCCGCGGUGAAUACGUUCCCGGGCCUUGUACACACCGCCCGUCACACCAUGAGAGUUUGUAACACCCAAAGUCGGUGGGGUAACCUUUUAGGAACCAGCCGCCUAAGGUGGGACAGAUGAUUAGGGUGAAGUCGUAACAAGGUAGCCGUA